AUGGAAAUGAUGAUCGUUUCUCCAAAUUAUGCAAGUUGAAAUAACUUGACGACUUAUGCUUCUGUAUUAUACAGAAACACUAAACUAAACAUAUCUGAUCCAU